UGUAAUCUUGUAGCUGUGCUCACUCCAAUUAUUAUCUACCCUAGGGAAGAUUGGUGGCAAAUUUGCUUGCAAUAAGUAGUUUCUUUCUUCCUCUUGUCUUUUUUCUUAAAAGAGCUUGGUCCUUCUGCCAGGACAGUAUAUUCUUUCUAUGUACAAUUUUUUAUGGGUCCAUAACAAACUACUGACAAGAGCAGGCUGGAUGACAAAAUCUACACUGAAGCAGAAUUGGGGCAGGGCUAGAAGAAGGGGCAGGGCUGGAAGAAGAGAGUAUUAUUAUUUGGAAAAUAUUUCUUUUGGAUGAAGCCAUGCUCCACCAAGGCUGUGGCUUUCACCUGUCCUGGAAGACAUCUCCUGGAGCAAGAGCUAGGCGCAGUUGGCUCUGGCAGCAGGUAGGCGUGCUCCAAAGACAGUGAUGAUCCUCACCACCCAGCCUAGGCAGAGCAUCGGAAGGAAAACCUGGCUCUUCACAAUUCAACUCUGCAGCAAAUACAAUCCAUAUCAGUCUGCCAUAGUGUGAAACAUUCCUUGGAGAAAAGCAAUGAGAGGAGUCACUGCAGGUAGAUCCAGGGCUGGAGGUGCAAGAACGUGCAUUUGUCCCUGCUGUGCAGCCAGCUGUAUUUGUCUUCAUUGCAGGUGGGACAUUUUGUUAUCACUGUGAAGUCUGUAGCCAUUCCUAAGACCAGGCAGUGGCCUGGGCUGCAGAAGGCCAAUAAAACCUGAGACCUGUUAGUCUCAGGACUCACCUGGACUUGAGGUACUUUCUUUGUUUUCCCUGCACAGCCUUUGGUCCUGAUUCCUUUAUCAUGCUCCUCUCUGUUGCUGAAAACAAUCAGCUGCUCAGGCCUGUUUUCAUUGCAAACCACAUCCUAACCACCCUCUUCUUCUUGCUCUUUUUACUUCUUCCCUCUCAUUUUUAUUUUCUCUUCUGCACCACUUCUAUAUCCCCCUUCUCAUAUUU